AUUGAACGCUGGCGGCAUGCCUUACACAUGCAAGUCGAACGGCAGCACGGGGCAACCUGGUGGCGAGUGGCGAACGGGUGAGUAAUAUAUCGGAACAUACCCUAGAGUGGGGGAUAACGUAGCGAAAGUUACGCUAAUACCGCAUACGAACUAAGGUUGAAAGUGGGGGGAUCUUCGGACCUCAUGCUCAUGGAGUGGCCGAUAUCUGAUUAGGUAGUUGGUGAGGUAAAGGCUCACCAAGCCGACGAUCUGUAGCUGGUCUGAGAGGACGACCAGCCACACUGGGACUGAGACACGGCCCAGACUCCUACGGGAGGCAGCAGUGGGGAAUUUUGGACAAUGGGCGCAAGCCUGAUCCAGCAAUGCCGCGUGCAGGAUGAGGGCCUCGGUUGUAAC
rnacentral:rRNA from 1 species